UACGAGGGGGGCAAAUGUCGUUCGGAAUCACUGGGCGUAAAGGGAGCGUAGGCGGGUUUCUAAGUCAGGUGUUUAAUCCCGGGGCCCAACCCCGGACAGGCACUUGAAACUGGGAAUCUUGAAUAGGGGAGAGGUCAGUGGAAUUGGAGGUGUAGCGGUGGAAUGCGUAGAGAUCUCCAAGAACACCAGUUGCGAAGGCGGCUGACUGGACCCAUAUUGACGCUGAGGCUCGAAAGCAUGGGGAGCAAACAGG
rnacentral:rRNA from 1 species